rnacentral:lncRNA from 1 species
CAGGAUCAUUCUUCACCAAACAUCAACAAUUAAUGAUGAUACAAUAAAAUUAAUUGCACUUACUUAUAGUUCAAGGUUUUGAUGUUAGAUUUUAAAAAUACUUUAUUCAUCCAGAUCUAAAAGGCAAUCUAUCAUAUCUCUCUCUAUAAAUGUUCCUGUAUUACCUUGUACAAUUAUGCCUGUGAUCAAUUUGAAGUUCACUGCAGAUAUGAUGAUAUAUAAAGAAAAAAUGUUUUCAAUAAUUUCAAUUUGAAAUAUUUUGCCAUGCUUAGUUUAAAUGCACAAUUAAACUAUUUCAAUAAUACUGCUUCAGAAAGUCAAUGUUAUUCCCUUUCUUGUCUACAAGUAUUUUUUCACAUAGCAAUGGGAAAAAAUAUUUCUUCUAUGAAGUUAUCUUUCCCUGGGGCCAUUAGGCACUUGCUUUUCUUAGGAUCAUGAGGUAGAAGAAAAAGGUCCCAUAAGUGCUAGGCACAGUGAGUUCAAGGAGCAGAGAGGUGGUAAACCAUGGACAGAAAAAGCCUUUGCUUCCCUCGCACACAUGGAUGAACUGUCUUUGUUGUCACUAUCAACCCGACAGUAGGGAUUUCCUUUAACCCACACAGAGAACCAGCAUGGCAACUGAAAUACAAGUAGAAGAAAUGCAUGCGGCCAGCAUGAUGCUGUUUACAUGACUCCCCAGCAUGGUCUGAUUCUCUGAUGUUACCAUGGGUACACUGGCUCAUAGACCUGAGAAUGACCACCAAUUUCUGCACAAGAAAAACCUGUGGUAAUUGUUCAGGUCAACUCAGGAGACAGGAGGAGAACACAGAAGGCUCUUCUUCUACUCCCUCUAUUCUUAUCCUGCUGACUAAAAAACCUCCACCAUCCUGCCCUCAUUUGCAGGCAUAAACCUCUGUUUUAAAAAAAAAUGUUUUCACUCUUGCUGAGUGUUUCUUUGAGUUACUAGCUCCUGGAAUUCCUCCUUCUCUCUUUCUCUCAUAACUUCUCUAAAGUUAACGUCAUAUGAGGGAAACAGUAAGUGCUGGUUCACAAUCUAGAUCUUGUAAAGC